UUUCCAGUUUGGAGAAGACAAGGCUCUGGGAUACUCUAUUGCAUCCUUUAAAUGUAUACAAGGGGCUUAAAGAAAGACAGAGAAAGAUUUUUUACCAAGGCCUGUAGUGACAGGAUAAGGGAAAUGGGUUUAAAUUGAGAAAUGGACAUGCUGCAUUGUCAGAUUUAUCAGGGCAGGAUCAUCCUCUCAUUGGACACACUGCUUGAACAACCAGGGCAAGCCUGUGGUGGUAUAAAGUAAUUUCCACAGAACUGUAUCAACUCACACCAGCUGAGGUUUGGUCCUUGUAGACUGUUAUCAGCAGUCUAUAGCACAUAGUUCUGCCCCUGUGCCAGGUUUGUCAGCCAAACUCAUGACCUGUGACACAUGACAUCAGUUGAGCACAAGGAAAGAGGAAGGCACCUGGCAAAGGAUGUGACCAGACCCUGCAGCGAAGAGACAAUGCACCCAAACCACAAAUGAACAGCAGUUCAGUCAAGAAGAAAUUCUAUGUGAACUCAGGCGGAAUGUUGCAAUUUGGUUUAAGAAAAUGAAAGGGUU